rnacentral:rRNA from 1 species
GACGAACGCUGGCGGCGUGCCUAAUACAUGCAAGUAGAACGCACAGUUUAUACCGUAGCUUGCUACACCAUAAACUGUGAGUUGCGAACGGGUGAGUAACGCGUAGGUAACCUGCCUGGUAGCGGGGGAUAACUAUUGGAAACGAUAGCUAAUACCGCAUAAUAUUAAUUAUUGCAUGAUAAUUGAUUGAAAGAUGCAAUUGCAUCACUACCAGAUGGACCUGCGUUGUAUUAGCUAGUAGGUGAGGUAACGGCUCACCUAGGCGACGAUACAUAGCCGACCUGAGAGGGUGAUCGGCCACACUGGGACUGAGACACGGCCCAGACUCCUACGGGAGGCAGCAGUAGGGAAUCUUCGUCAAUGGACGAAAGUCUGACCGAGCAACGCCGCGUGAGUGAAGAAGGUUUUCGGAUCGUAAAGCUCUGUUGUAAGAGAAGAACGGGUGUGAGAGUGGAAAGUUCACACUGUGACGGUAUCUUACCAGAAAGGGACGGCUAACUACGUG